AUACGGAGGGUGCGAGCGUUAAUCGGAAUUACAGGGCGUAAAGCGUGUGUAGGCGGUUAUAUCAGUCAAGUGUGAAAUGGCUUGGCUCAACCAAGCAACUGCGCUUGAUACUGUAUGGCUUGAGUACGGAAGAGGAAAGUGGAAUGUAAGGUGUAGCGGUGAAAUGCGUAGAUAUCUUAUAGAACACCUAUGGCGAAGGCAGCUUUCUGGUCCGAUACUGACGCUGAGUACACGAAAGCUUGGGGAGCGAACGGGAUUAGAUACCCCAGUAGUCC
rnacentral:rRNA from 1 species